AAUGGUAUCUCCCUAAAAAAAUAAUCAAUGUGUAUUGUGUAUAUAUAUAUUAUACAAAUAGCAGGCUUCGCGUAUUAUAUGAAUUGGUGUGCCGCAUUGUUUAAAAUUAUUGAAAACCACUGGUAUACAGGGCGAUUUUUGUUUAUCAUGAACCAGCAAUUAUCUCAGAGGAUUUUAAGUGAAUUUGAUUUCUGUUUUUUUCUAAUCAUUAUGGAAUCG